UGGCUCAGUGGUAGAGCGCUUGCCUAGCAUGCAUGAAGCCCUGGGUUCAAUUCCUCAG
rnacentral:tRNA from 1 species